UGCCGAGAGAAGUGAGGUGAAUGACGCAGCAUUGUGAUGUAAAGUUAGGCUACUAUUGACCUUUCGAUGAUUCGUCAGGAGGUGGAUCCUCUGCUGGGAGAGAGGGAGAGAGAGGGAGAGAGAGAAUCCCAGGCAGGCUCUACAAGUGUCAACACAGGGCUGGAUCUCAUGAACUGUGAGAUCAUGACCUGAGCCGCAAUCAAGAGUCCAACGCUUAUAUCAACUGAACUGCCCAGGCACCCACAGACCGCUGUUAACUACGGAUUGUUGAAACUGCGGAAGGCGAAUCGUCAGAUAAGGGGGGGGGGAUUACUGUGUAAACUGAUCCUGAAGUCUGAUGAGUGUUCUUACGGGAACAGCAGCACCGUGGGCCUGAGGGUAUGGUUACUGUGAGUCUGGCCUUGCCUUUCCUGAUGAGAAACAAAAGAAGGGGAGUGAGAGAGAAGCGAGAAUAACAGGAUCACAACGAUCUCAUCAGCACAGUUGGAGAGCAACAAAUAUGAAGCCCAGAUCCAGAUCUUCAGGCACAGAAUGUCACCAAGGAAAAGCUGCCUCGCUCCCUCAUGACAACAUUCCCCCAAGAAACCACUGCUUGGAGAAACUUCAAGUUCUGUGCUGAAGUGCAGUGCAAAGCUAAACAAGACUCUGAAAUGCAAAUGUCUUGUCAGCACAGAGCAGAGCAAGUUUUUAUAAGGUAGAUAAACCUAAGGAGCCCCAGCUCCCAUCUUCCCUGGAGAGAAGGGAUAGAGGACAGGACAGGAGGCAAAGAAUCAGGGGCAGAGUGGACACCUGACACAGCAUCAGAAGGAAGGAGUAUGGCAUUGUGGUUAAAUCCAUUGCUCUGAUGUCCAGCAAAAUUCAGACUCAGCCACUUACCAAAUGAGGGACUACAGUUACCUGCUACUCACUGGAGUUCAGAGAGAGGCAAUGGUGUGAAGCUGGUUGCGGCCAUCCGGACAGGUGUUCGCCAGCAUCAGCAUCACCUGGAUGCUUGUUACACCUGGGCUCCACCCCAGACCUAUGGAACCAGAAUCUCCAGGAAUCUGUAUCUUAACAAACUUUCCAGGUGACUUUUAUGAACCCGGGUUUGAGAAGCCUGACUCCAUGAUCACAGAUAGGCCUGAAGUCAUUCAUAGUGUAGGCAGUGAUAAGAUUGAUGAGAGCACCCCAUCAUGUGCCUGAAAGGGCUUUGCAACACAUCAAACAACCACUUAAACAGGCCUGCUGACUGCCAGCAUCAUUGAAAUUUCUUCGUUGAGCACCUACUUCCUGCUACAAACCUCAGGAAACCGAGGUCCUGUCCUCCCCCAACCAGCUGCUACUUCCUCUAAACACCGAGGAGCCUGGCCUUUGCUUUCAGCAUCUUUCUUCACUAAGUAUCAUUGAAAAACUUGGAUCUGACAGCCAACUGCUUACUUUCUGAUCCACCAGCUGGUUACAGAACCAACAUCCUUUUUCUUCUUUUAUCUGUCUUUUCCCUGUGAUGAAACACAGGUGCAGAGUGGAUACAGGUCCAAAUGCAACCAGGAAAGAACAAACUCAAUCUCUCCAGGGGAGGGGGGUGGGUCAGGGGGGCGCCAAUGUAGCACAGUGGUUAAGGCACAGGGUCUGAGCCCAAAUACAGGUUCCUUCUCACUUGCCAGCUAUGUGACCUUAGGCAGGCCAUCUCUCAGAGCCUCAGUUUUGCCAUAUGUAAAAUAAAGAUAAUGAUAGUCUCUACUUCACCGGCGGGUGAGUACGGACUGAUAUUUUACAAGUAAAGAAUUUAGAGCAGAGGCUGAUUCUUAGCGAGUGCUUAAGAAGCAUAAGGCCUUAUUUGGCCCAGUCAUUGGCUUUUUGUGAAUGUUAGCAUUUGUUCCACACCAAACGCAUAUUCGUUGAAUAUCUACUAUGGGCCAGGCAUUGUGCUAGACGUGGUUUCACAGAAACAGCUUUGGUCUAGAAGUCAUACAACCUGACUCUUUUGCAAGGAGUCAGGUGACCAAGGAUCAGCCUCGUCAUCUCUGAAGUCCUCAGCUCUCUUGCCCCGAAAGGAGUGCACUGGGAUCACAUGACUUCCGAGGCCCUUCUGGUCCUGGCUUGACAGAGUGACUGUCCUCAGGAGGAUGCAGCCUUCAAUCCCGCCCAGAUGGGGCUGACCCCCCAGUCACUCACAUCCACCGGUCCCAGUGUGUGAGCACAUGCCCUGGAGAGAAGCAGGCCUGAUCACUGUCUUGUGUUCGCCAUAAAAUAUUGAUUAGGGAAUUUAAAAUUUCGAAAUGAUUUAGGAGCCCCGAGACGGGGACGUAAUGUGCUGUGCCCAGCUGCGUUAUGAGCCAUCUAUCUCCUGUCAGCAAGCAGCACGAUACUGACAGAAUCAAUACAAACGUGUCUGAAGAAAAGCUUAACUCAUUUCCUUUCUCCAGGGGCAGUGGUUGGAAUGGGUCAGCCUUGGGAGAUCAGCACUGAAGCUGGAGCCUAGACACCCAUCUGCCAGGUGCAGGGAAGGCAAGACUGUUGGGGUUUUAAAUAGGAUCUCUGGGCUGUGUCCUGAAGGGAAAAUAAUAAUAAUAGCUACCAAGAAUCUUUAUUUAGCAUCAAGAAUCUUCUAAGAAUCGGAGCGCCUGGGUGGCGCGGUCGGUUAAGCGUCCGACUUCAGCCAGGUCACGAUCUCGCGGUCCUGUGAGUUCGAGCCCCGCGUCGGGCUCUGGGCUG